rnacentral:rRNA from 1 species
GACGAACGCUGGCGGCGUGCUUAACACAUGCAAGUCGAGCGGAAAGGCCCUUCGGGGUACUCGAGCGGCGAACGGGUGAGUAACACGUGAGUAAUCUGCCCUUGGCUUUGGGAUAACUACCGGAAACGGUGGCUAAUACCGGAUACGACAACCGUCUGCAUGGGCUGGUUGUGGAAAGUUUUUUCGGCCAGGGAUGUGCUCGCGGCCUAUCAGCUUGUUGGUGGGGUAAUGGCCUACCAAGGCUUCGACGGGUAGCCGGCCUGAGAGGGUGACCGGCCACACUGGGACUGAGACACGGCCCAGCCUCCUACGGGAGGCAGCAGUGGGGAAUAUGGGAAAAUGGGCGGAAGCCUGAUCCCGCAACGCCGCGGGAGGGAUGGCGGCCUUCGGGUUGUAAACCUCUUUCAGUACCGACGAAGCGCCGAUGAUGGUGGUGACGGUAGGUACAGAAGAAGCACCGGCCAACUACGU